rnacentral:rRNA from 1 species
AUUGAACGCUGGCGGCAGGCCUAACACAUGCAAGUCGAGCGGAGCGGCGGACGGGUGCGUAAUGCCUAGGAAUCUGCCUGGUAGUGGGGGAUAACGUCCGUAAACGUGCGCUAAUACCGCAUACUAUCAGAUGAGCCUAGGUCGGAUUAGCUAGUUGGUGGGGUAAAGGCCUACCAAGGCGACGAUCCGUAACUGGUCUGAGAGGAUGAUCAGUCACACUGGAACUGAGACACGGUCCAGACUCCUACGAGGGGCAGCAGUGGAGAAUAGUGGACAGUGAGCGAAAGCCUGGUCCAGCCAUGCCGCGUGUGUGGAGAAGGUCUUCGGAUAGUAAAGCACUUUAAGUUGGGAGGCGUUACCAACAGAAUAAGCACCGGCUAACUUCGUGCCAGCAGCCGCGGUAAUAC